rnacentral:lncRNA from 1 species
UGGAACUGACAUCAAAUACAUUCUGAAAUGUCCCAAGAAGACUAAAGGUGGCAGCUGAAAGGAAGGUAUGUGACAGUCCUCCUGUUUUGCACAACAGAAGCUCCUCCUGCAGCUGUGCCUAAAAUGGGUUUUUCACGCAUGGUUAUCUGUUUUCAAAACUACAAAGGAACCGGAAUCUAGCACUGUAGCCACUGGAGAAUUGU